UGGGGAAUCUUGCACAAUGGGGGAAACCCUGACCCAGCAACGCCGCGUGAGUGAAGAAGGCCUUCGGGUUGUAAAGCUCUGUCGCAGGGGACGAAACAAAUGACGGUACCCUGUGAGGAAGCCCCGGCUAACUACGUGCCAGCAGCCGCGGUAAUACGUAGGGGGCGAGCGUUGUCCGGAAUUACUGGGCGUAAAGGGUGCGUAGGCGGCUUGUUAAGUUGGAUGUGAAAUACCCGGGCUCAACCUGGGGGGUGCAUUCAAAGCUGGCAGGCUAGAGUGCAGGAGAGGGAAGCGGAAUUCCUAGUGUAGCGGUGAAAUGCGUAGAUAUUAGGAGGAACACCAGUGGCGAAGGCGGCUUUCUGGACUGUAACUGACGCUGAUGCACGAAAGCGUGGGGAGCAAACA
rnacentral:rRNA from 1 species